GAAAUAGGAACUUGAUUUGAUAAAUUAUUCCUUGUCUCUAUUCAUAUCUCAAACACAGGAUCUGCUGCCAAUUAUUGAAAAAAAAGUAAUUGAGGUUGGAAGAGAGCUAUGGAACUGGUCAGAUCCAGCUUCAGCCCAAAAUGGGAUCAAACUAAAAGUUAUUAGGAGCUGGUCAUAUCUUUUUCCAGCCCUGCCUUGAAGUUCAGGUUCAGCUGAUGCAGGCUCCCUGUUUCUAGUGACUCCCUGUGCUUUAACCCGCCUACAAAAGCAGAGAGAAGAAAGCUAUGAAAAAAAGUGCAUUCAAUGCAUCAUUCAAGUCUUCAAGUGAAAUUCAUUGGAGCUGCAAUCUCUGCUUUUGUUUGCUCCUCAAAAUGCCCUCUACCAUCUAAACAGACUUGUUUCAGCUCUAGCAAUCCAUGCAGCUCUUCGCCUGACACUCCCUGACUGAAAAAAAAAAUCCAACAAUCAUGAAAUCACACUUUGGAGUAAGUUAGUAUUACUAAUAUCAUAUAUGUACAGCCCAGUAGGACUUAAUGAGAGGGUAUGAAAAAGUGAGAAAAGUUUUUCAUGAUUGCAUAUGAGAAGAGUAUUGUAAAACAUAACACAGACUGCAUACCAGAUGAGGUUAACUAAAUGAAAUUACUUUAAAAAUGAAUGAAGCAUCA
rnacentral:lncRNA from 1 species